GAGACACGGACCAGACUCCUACGGGAGGCAGCAGUGAGGAAUAUUGGUCAAUGGCCGAGAGGCUGAACCAGCCAAGUCGCGUGAGGGAAGAAUGUCCUAAGGAUUGUAAACCUCUUUUGUCGGGGAGCAAAAAGGCUCUGCGGAGUCGUAUUGAGAGUACCCGAAGAAAAAGCAUCGGCUAACUCCGUGCCAGCAGCCGCGGUAAUACGGAGGAUGCGAGCGUUAUCCGGAUUUAUUGGGUUUAAAGGGUGCGCAGGCGGCGUGUCAAGCAAGCGGUAAAAUAGCGGGGCUCAACCCCGUCGAGCCGUUUGAACUGGCGCGCUUGAGUUCAGGCGAGGUAGGCGGAAUUCGUGGUGUAGCGGUGAAAUGCAUAGAUAUCACGAAGAACUCCGAUUGCGAAGGCAGCUUACCAGUCUGCGACUGACGCUCAGGCACGAAAGUGUGGGUAUCGAACAGGAUUAGAUACCCUGGUAGUCCACACAGUAAACGAUGAGCGCUAGGUGUCCGGGUCGCAUGAGACUUGG
rnacentral:rRNA from 1 species